CGCGUUGCCGACCUCCAGCAGCAGUCGGCUUCUCUACGCAGAACCCGGGAGUAGGAGACUCAGAAUCGAAUCUCUUCUCCCUCCCCUUCUUGGGCAGCAAGGCGAACCCCAUCCCUACUCACUGGAGCUCAGCUUUGAUUUUUAACCUCCCUUCCCCACCCUUCCAGAACACACACAUUCCAUUCCAAAACUGAUUUUAUAAAGACAUUUUAAACAUAAUGAUGCAACUUGGUGUGCACUACAGCAAAUGUACAGGUGUUUUUUUUUUAAUUGUUUCCAAAACCGGGACCUGGAUUUAAGAUGUAAUUUUUAAAAUUUCUAUUUCUAUUUUUUCUGCAGCAGUUGGGUUAGAGGAGGAGGAGCCUUUUAGCCUCUCAUAAACUGACCUCUCUACUUCCUCGUGUAUUUUUAAGAUUGAUUGAUGAUGUGGAAAGGGCUUUGCUUGUCUGCUACUGAAAACUUUAUCCUUGCGGUUUUUGUGGAAACUGCUUUUGGAAAGAGAAAAGAAAUGAACUUUACUGACUUGACAUUUUUGCACCUCCCGUUUUUCUAAUCUGGGCUAUUUUUAUUUUUGUUUUUUUACAGUGAGAUUUUUUUGAUCUUCAGCUACAGUAAGUUAUUCCAAUUUUUUUUUAACAUUUUUCCUGACUUUCCGCUGAUUUCCUUUUUAUUGUUGUUACUAGUUACUAUUACUUAUUAUUAUUAUAUUAAUACUUAUGAUGGUGAUGAUGAUGAUGAUAAUGACACUGAUGAUUUUUAACCGGAUUAAAAUCGAGUUUUUCUGAAUGUUUCUAAGAAUUUCUCCGGCCUCCUGAUUGACUUUGGAGUUUUGCAUCUUGGGAGAGAAAGCGAAGGCAUUAGUAUUUUUAAGUGGUUUGAUCACGUAAACCUUUUCUCUCCCAACCCCACCCUUGCCCUCAUCCCCUUCC
rnacentral:lncRNA from 10 species